UCCGGGAAACCGGGGCUAAUACCGGANGCUUGANUNAACCGCNUGGUUNAAUUAUAAAAGGUGGCUUUNAGCUACCACUUACAGAUGGACCCGCGGCGCAUUAGCUAGUUGGUGAGGUAACGGCUCACCAAGGCAACGAUGCGUAGCCGACCUGAGAGGGUGAUCGGCCACACUGGGACUGAGACACGGCCCAGACUCCUACGGGAGGCAGCAGUAGGGAAUCUUCCGCAAUGGACGAAAGUCUGACGGAGCAACGCCGCGUGAGUGAUGAAGGUUUUCGGAUCGUAAAACUCUGUUGUUAGGGAAGAACAAGUACCGUUCGAAUAGGGCGGUACCUUGACGGUACCUAACCAGAAAGCCACGGCUAACUACGUGCCAGCAGCCGCGGUCAAUACGUAGGUGGCAAGCGUUGUCCGGAAUUAUUGGGCGUAAAGCGCGCGCAGGCGGUUUCUUAAGUCUGAUGUGAAAGCCCCCGGCUCAACCGGGGAGGGUCAUUGGAAACUGGGGAACUUGAGUGCAGAAGAGGAGAGUGGAAUUCCACGUGUANCGGUGAAAUGCGUAGAGAUGUGGAGGAACACCANUGGCGAAGGCGACUCUCUGGUCUGUAACUGACGCUGAUGCGCGAAAGCGUGGGGAGCGAACANGUAUUAAGAUACCCUGGUAGUCCANGCCGUAAACGAUGAGUGCUAAGUGUUAGAGGGUUUCCGCCCUUUAGUGNUGCAGCAAACGCAUUAAGCACUCCGCCUGGGGAGUACGGUCGCAAGACUGAAACUCAAAGGAAUUGACGGGGGCCCGCACAAGCGGUGGAGCAUGUGGUUUAAUUNGAAGCAACGCGAAGAACCUUACCAGGUCUUGACAUCCUCUGACAACCCUAGAGAUAGGGCUUCCCCUUCGGGGGCAGAGUGACAGGUGGUGCAUGGUUGUCGUCAGCUCGUGUCGUGAGAUGUUGGGUUAAGUCCCGCAACGAGCGCAACCCUUGAUCUUAGUUGCCAGCAUUCAGUUGGGCACUCUAAGGUGACUGCCGGUGACAAACCGGAGGAAGGUGGGGAUGACGUCAAAUCAUCAUGCCCCUUAUGACCUGGGCUACACACGUGCUACAAUGGGCAGAACAAAGGGCAGCGAAGCCGCGAGGCUAAGCCAAUCCCACAAAUCUGUUCUCAGUUCGGAUCGCAGUCUGCAACUCGACUGCGUGAAGCUGGAAUCGCUAGUAAUCGCGGAUCAGCAUGCCGCGGGAA
rnacentral:rRNA from 1 species